rnacentral:rRNA from 1 species
AUAGGGCGGUACCUUGACGGUACCUAACGAGAAAGCCCCGGCUAACUACGUGCCAGCAGCCGCGGUAAUACGUAGGGGGCAAGCGUUGUCCGGAAUUAUUGGGCGUAAAGCGCGCGCAGGCGGUUCCUUAAGUCUGAUGUGAAAGCCCACGGCUCAACCGUGGAGGGCCAUUGGAAACUGGGGAACUUGAGGAUAGAAGAGGAGAGUGGAAUUCCACGUGUAGCGGUGAAAUGCGUAGAUAUGUGGAGGAACACCAGUGGCGAAGGCGACUCUCUGGUCUAUCUCUGACGCUGAGGUGCGAAAGCGUGGGUAGCAAACAGGAUUAGAUACCCUGGUAGUCCACGCUGUAAACGAUGAGUGCUAGGUGUUAGGGGGCUUCCACCCCUUAGUGCUGAAGUUAACGCAUUAAGCACUCCNCCGGAUUCACCCCCCCNUAAACNAUNAAAGUGUUUUUNAAUCNUAAANUUU